GUAUAAAUAUUACUCUUAAUAUUCAUACCUAUGUUUAAGACUUGAUAACUCCUUAUCCAUGAUCCAUGAGAUGUGAUCAUCAGUCUAUAUACAUAAUAGUCUUAAUGCUUUAAUGUUAUCCCACUUCACAAUAAAGCUCAACUAUGGAUACUUUAAGAAUAGUGUCCUUAUGUUUAAUGUGAUCUCAUGAUUAAGUCACACUUGAUACAUUAAACGGACUAUCUAUUCU
rnacentral:lncRNA from 1 species